rnacentral:misc_RNA from 1 species
GUGGGAGGGGGCUUGCUCCCGAUAGCGGCGGAUCAGUUGAUCAAUGUGCCAACUGGUAAACCGCAAUCGGGAGCAAGCCCCCUCCCAC